rnacentral:lncRNA from 1 species
CACCACCGCCGCCGAGCCCUCCCUCCCGCCGUCAGCCACUUCCCCCUCCCCAGAACCGCGGCGCACCCGCCACCUCCACCAACCAAACCAACCGGAUUUCCCACCACCACCGUUUUCCCUCACCUCCACAGAUUUGCAGAUCUAGGGUCUGUGCUUGGCCGUGAGCGGCGGCGGCCCUUGACCAGCUAGGGUUCAGCCUUUGGUUGAAAGAGAAGGCUAAAGUUGAGCCUUUGAGCGGGAAUGGGAGGCCCUUGAUGAAGGCGGCGAUGGCUCAGAUCUCGACGUCCGCCGAGAAUCGAAGAGAGGAGGUGGUAGGCUCUCCUGGAUCCGACGGCGAAGCCUGAUAGGCUGGCUAGAGGCGGCGGCGGGCUCUAUCGCGGCGGUUUUCAGACCACUCUUAUCCGUCAAGUCCGGAUGGUGACCGGAGAAGGAGGUGGGAGCUCCUGAGUUUUCGAAUCUGAAACUGUGAGUGGGUGCUGCGGUGAGUCGCGCGGUUUGACUGAGCAACAGAUCUAGGUGGUGCGUGCCGCGGAGGCUCUGGAUCUGCACGAUUUCGCCCGACUCUCGCCGGCUUCUGUUCGGGCGGCGGCGAGCUGCUGUGCUCGGGCAGCGUCAUGGCGCGGCUGGCGCAUCGAUGGGAAGGUGGCUGUGAUGGGGCGCACCGCCGAGAGCAGCGAUGCGGUUCUGGG